rnacentral:rRNA from 1 species
GCGCACCAGGCGAGAAACCUCCGCAAUACACGAAAGUGUGACGGGGCCAUCCCGAGUGCCGUCCGCUGAGGACGGCUUUCCCCAGUGUACACAGCUGGGGGAAUAAGGAGAGGGCAAGCCUGGUGUCAGCCGCCGCGGUAAUACCAGCUCUCCGAGUGGUGGGGACGCUUAUUGGGCCUAAAGCAUCCGUAGCCGGCUGGGCAAGUCCUCCGUUAAAUCCAACGAUUCAAUCGUUGGGCUGCGGGGGAUACUGUCCAGCUUGGGGGCGGGAGAGGCCGACGGUAUUCCCGGGGUAGGGGUGAAAUCCUAUAAUCCCGGGAGGACCACCAGUGGCGAAGGCUGUCGGCUAGAACGCGCCCGACGGUGAGGGAUGAAAGCUGGGGGAGCGAACCGGAUUAGAUA